CCUACGGGUGGCAGCAGUGAGGAAUAUUGGUCAAUGGACGAGAGUCUGAACCAGCCAAGUAGCGUGAAGGAUGACUGCCCUAUGGGUUGUAAACUUCUUUUAUAUGGGAAUAAAACGUUCCACGUGUGGGAUUUUGUAUGUACCAUAUGAAUAAGGAUCGGCUAACUCCGUGCCAGCAGCCGCGGUAAUACGGAGGAUCCGAGCGUUAUCCGGAUUUAUUGGGUUAAAAGGGAGCGUAGGUGGAUUGUUAAGUCAGUUGUGAAAGUUUGCGGCUCAACCGUAAAAUUGCAGUUGAAACUGGCAGUCUUGAGUACAGUAGAGGUGGGCGGAAUUCGUGGUGUAGCGGUGAAAUGCUUAGAUAUCACGAAGAACUCCGAUUGCGAAGGCAGUUCACUGGACUGCAACUGACACUGAGGCUCGAAAGUGUGGGUAUCAAACAGGAUUAGAUACCCCAGUAGUC
rnacentral:rRNA from 1 species